UGACCAGUAGCUCAAUGGCAGAGCGCCCGACUGUUAAUCGGGAGGUUGGAGGUUCGAGUCCUCCCUGGUCAGCAA
rnacentral:tRNA from 1 species